AUUGAACGCUGGCGGCAUGCUUUACACAUGCAAGUCGAACGGUAACAGGGCUUUUGCUGCUGGCUUCAGCGGAAGAGGGGAGUAAAGCGUCUAGACGUGCGCAUGGUAGUGGGGUAACGCAUCCAAAACCGUGCGCUAAUCCCGCAUGAUUCGUGAGUGAAAAAGUGGGAGCACCUCGCACUUCAUGCUAUCACGUCUCUGUAGCUCGCGUUGUCUGAUUAGUUAGGUGGGGGCGUAAAAGCCUACCAAUCCGACGAUCUGUAGCUGGUCUGAGAGGACGACGAGCCAAGCUGGGAAUGAGACACGGCGCAGACUCCUACGGGAGGAAGCAGUGGGGAAUUUUGGACAAUGGGCGCAAGCCUGAUCCAGCAAUGCCGCGUGCGGAAAGAAGGCCUUCGGGUUGUAAACCGCUUUUGUACGGAACGAAAAGGCUCUGGCUAAUACCUGGGGCUGAUGACGGUACCGUAAGAAUAAGCACCGGCUAACUACGUG
rnacentral:rRNA from 1 species